CACGUAGGGGUGCGAGCGUUGUCCGGAAUUAUUGGGCGUAAAGAGCUCGUAGGCGGUGUGUCGCGUCGGCCGGUGAAAACCCUGCAGCUUAACUGUGGGCGUGCGGUCGAUACGGGGCAUCACUGGGAGUUUCGGCAGGGGGAGACUGGAAUUCCUGGUGUAGCGGUGAAAAUGCGCAGAUAUCAGGGAGGAACACCAGUGGCGAAGGCGAUCUCUGGACCAUUUUCUGACGCUCAGACGCGACAGCUAGGGGUAGCAAA
rnacentral:rRNA from 1 species